AUGGUAGAUGACAAAUUGGUUAGUCGCUCCGUUUGGGUCGGAGAUAUAUAGCGUGUUCGAAUCGCGUCUACCAUA
rnacentral:tRNA from 1 species